ACGUAGGACGCAAGCGUUAUCCGGAAUUACUGGGCGUAAAGGGCGUGUAGGCGGCACGGUAAGUCAACCGUGAAAGCUCCCGGCUAAACUGGGAGAGGUCGGAUGAGACUGCCGAGCUAGAGGGUCGUAGAGGGGUGUGGAAUUCCGGGUGUAGUGGUGAAAUGCGUAGAGAUCCGGAGGAACACCAGAGGCGAAGGCGAUUCGCUGGGCCUACUCUGACGCUCAGACGCGACAGCAUGGGGAGCGAACGG
rnacentral:rRNA from 1 species